rnacentral:pre_miRNA from 1 species
UUAACUCAAAUUUGUAUGGAGUGGGAACGUUGCUCACGUUUGCCGCCAGGGGCGCUGCUCCAACUGCAUACAAAUUCAAGUUC